rnacentral:tRNA from 1 species
GGCCCGGUGGCGGAGCGAUUACGCAAAGGACCCUGCAAGGUCCUUCACCCUGGUUCAAAUCCAGGCUGGGCCUCCA